rnacentral:lncRNA from 1 species
ACCGAUAAUUUCACCGGUUGGUCUGAAGAUCAUACAUGUAUCAACAUAGUGAAAUUACCACUAAUUCAGUCUGAAUAUUUAUUUUCACAAAAGGUGGUCUCGAUUGUGAUAAGAUGCACUCUAGUUUGUGGGCACAUUAGUUAUACUAGUAGGAGAUAUGACACAAUCACUAGGUUGAUUAAGAAAGGAUAUCAGAUGAGUUUAAUUAAAAUGGUUGAGUAUCAAUUUGCGGCUGGAACAUCGGGAGAUGCUAUGGUAAAUGUGGCAGCAUGUUAUAUUGGGGUUUAUCAUGGACUUCCAAAGAAUUGUAAAGCUGGAUAUGUAAUAAGGAUUGUAAAGCUAAAUAUGCAAUCAGUUAUCAAGUGUAACAAGAAAAAUAUCAACCGUGUUCAUCAUGUUACCGUCUACCUUGGGCACUAUCUUGUCUCAGAUGGAACUAGAGGCAUCGAUCAAGCUCUGCUCUUCAGCCCUAGGGGCCAAUCAGGUGUCAGAUUCACAAUCCCGAUAAUUGUUAUGACUGUUGGUUUCACUAUGUUCAUGGGUGGUAGAAUGGUGUACUGGUUCAAGAAACAUGAAGAAAGUCCUAUAAAAAGUAUUUCUCAAGUAAUUAUUCCGUUAGUAAGAAAUCGCCAUCCAAAGUUACUUGAUUAUAGCUCAACCCUCCAUGAGCUAUCAUUACUAUCAGAAGCAAGUUAUAAGAUCCAUCAUACCAAUAAAUUCAGGUACUUGAGUUAUGAUGAAAUAAUUCAGUUACUGCAUACAAUUUUUUUUUAA